UACGUAGGGGGCGAGCGUUGUCCGGAAUUACUGGGCGUAAAGAGCUCGUAGGUGGUUUGUCGCGUUGUUCGUGAAAUCUCACGGCUUAACUGUGAGCGUGCGGGCGAUACGGGCAGACUAGAGUACUGCAGGGGAGACUGGAAUUCCUGGUGUAGCGGUGAAAUGCGCAGAUAUCAGGAGGAACACCGGUGGCGAAGGCGGGUCUCUGGGCCGAUACUGACGCUGAGGAGCGAAAGCGUGGGGAGCGAACAGG
rnacentral:rRNA from 1 species